rnacentral:rRNA from 1 species
AGAGUUUGAUCCUGGCUCAGAUUGAACGCUGGCGGCGUGCCUAACACAUGCAAGUCGAACGUGAAAGGGAGCAAUCCCAAGUAAAGUGGCGUACGGGUGAGUAAUGCGUAGGUAAUCUACCCCAAAGUUUGGAAUAACCUGCCGAAAGGCGGGCUAAUACUGGAUAGAGCGACGGAAUCCGUAAUUGGGUUUUUCGGGAA